AUAAAGUGUACUGCCCUCUUGUGGCCUUUAGUGGGAUUUUGCCAUUUGUUUUGACAGGCAGACUUGAGUGACCUCUAGUGGCCGAAUAAGCCUACGCAUCCAAUGUGAUUUCGCAUAUUCCACGUUUUUUUUGCCUAUGUGUGAACCAUAGCCUAUGUGUGAACCAUAGAUUGUAUAAAAACAGGUGUGAACAUGCAAGACUGAGUAGGGGGAGGCUGCAGACCUGGAGCAGGCAGAUCUAGGGCCCAGACAGUUUUACGCCCCUGUUGUUCCUCAUGCGUCCAGUAGGGGGAGGCUGUACAGUAUGAGCUAUUCAGAACAGACAAAGUCAAGAAGCGACAUGAAAUAAGAGGUUUGUUGAAUAAGUUAUUAUUGUUCAGCAGUCGUGCAACGUUGCAACAUUUAUAGUUAAAUGAUUAGUUAAGAGCCCACGUCAAUUAAUUUUAAUAUGUUAAUAGAUAGGUUUAUAAAUGUACUUAUUGACGGUCAGGUAGAUGAAAGUAGUAACAUUUGCAUGUAGCGUUAUUCUAUUUUUUUUUGUUUUUUUGUUUAAAGAGCUUAGACUUUUGUGUGUGUGCUAUCUAUUUUGAUUGUUUCUUUUGCAGAUUGGAAAUGCCUGCAUGAAACUCGUCUAUGAAGAGGAUAAUGCUUUCAUCAAAGUCCCAUUAAGGGUAUUCUAUAGUCUUUGCUUUCAUGAAGGAUGCAUGAACACAAGCCACCGGCCCAGAUCAUUAUCUGUUAUGUGUACAGAAGCCACUCUUAAGAGAGAUCCUCCUUCUAGUCUUCCUUUAGAAUAAUCAAAGCCUGGUUUUGGAGAUGACAAACACAGAGACAUCUUUAGGUCCACAGCUAAGAGAUUCUUGAUAACC
ensembl:lncRNA